AACGAACGCUGGCGGCGCGUCUUACCCAUGCAAGUCGAGCGGCAGGCAGCAAUGCCGAGAGCGGCGGACUGGUGGGUAACACGUGGAUAACGUACCCCGAUGUCCGGGACAGCCUGUAGAAAUAGAGGGUAAUACCGGAUAGAUCACUGUUUACGUGAGGUAGACAGCGGGAAAGGAGCUUCGGCUCCGCGACGGGAUCGGUCUGCGGCCCAUCAGCUGGACGGCGGGGUAAAGGCCCGCCGUGGCGAGGACGGGUAUCCGGCCUGAGAGGGCGGACGGACACAUUGGGACUGAGAUACGGCCCAGACUCCUACGGGAGGCAGCAGGUAAGAAUAUUCCGCAAUGGGGGGAACCCUGACGGAGCGACGCCGCGUGAACGAAGAAGGCCGGAAGGUUGUAAAGUUCUUUUCUGUCCGAGGAAUAAGUUUCGGAGGAAAUGCCGGGACGGUGACGGUAGGGCAGGAAUAAGCACCGGCUAAUUACGU
rnacentral:rRNA from 1 species